rnacentral:rRNA from 1 species
UGGCUCAGGACGAACGCUGGCGGCGUGCUUAACACAUGCAAGUCGAACGAUGAACCACUUCGGUGGGGAUUAGUGGCGAACGGGUGAGUAACACGUGGGCAAUCUGCCCUGCACUCUGGGACAAGCCCUGGAAACGGGGUCUAAUACCGGAUACUGAUCCUCGCAGGCAUCUGCGAGGUUCGAAAGCUCCGGCGGUGCAGGAUGAGCCCGCGGCCUAUCAGCUAGUUGGUGAGGUAACGGCUCACCAAGGCGACGACGGGUAGCCGGCCUGAGAGGGCGACCGGCCACACUGGGACUGAGACACGGCCCAGACUCCUACGGGAGGCAGCAGUGGGGAAUAUUGCACAAUGGGCGAAAGCCUGAUGCAGCGACGCCGCGUGAGGGAUGACGGCCUUCGGGUUGUAAACCUCUUUCAGCAGGGAAGAAGCGAAAGUGACGGUACCUGCAGAAGAAGCGCCGGCUAACUACGUGCCAGCAGCCGCGGUAAUACGUAGGGCGCAAGCGUUGUCCGGAAUUAUUGGGCGUAAAGAGCUCGUAGGCGGCUUGUCACGUCGGUUGUGAAAGCCCGGGGCUUAACCCCGGGUCUGCAGUCGAUACGGGCAGGCUAGAGUUCGGUAGGGGAGAUCGGAAUUCCUGGUGUAGCGGUGAAAUGCGCAGAUAUCAGGAGGAACACCGGUGGCGAAGGCGGAUCUCUGGGCCGAUACUGACGCUGAGGAGCGAAAGCGUGGGGAGCGAACAGGAUUAGAUACCCUGGUAGUCCACGCCGUAAACGGUGGGCACUAGGUGUGGGCAACAUUCCACGUUGUCCGUGCCGCAGCUAAC